CCCUUAGAUGUUCUGGGCUGCACGCGCGCUACACUGAAGCUAUCAACACGUUUUCCCUCCCUGAGAAGGGCGGGUAACCUUUUGAAUCAGCUUCGUGGUAGGGAUCGGGGCUUGCAAUUGUUCCCCGUGAACCAGGAAUUCCUAGUAGACGCGAGUCAUAAGCUCGCAUCGAUUAAGUCCCUGCCCUUUGUACACACCGCCCGUCGCUACUACCGAUUGAACGUUUUAGUGAGGCAUUUGGACCGACGCAUCUCAGUUUAACCGCUGGUUUGUGUUGAAAAGACUUCCAAACUUGAGCGUUUAGAGGAAGUAAAAGUCGUAACA
rnacentral:rRNA from 1 species